rnacentral:sRNA from 1 species
UAGCAAAUACACGCGCAAGCCAAUUGG